CGGCCGCCGACAGAGGGGGCCGCUGCGCAGCCGCGGGCCGCGCCCCUCCAGCGCGCGUUUCCUGUGAGGUCAGGUGGGAGGAAGCGGCCCGGAGCCGCCGAGUGGACGCCGCCGAGGCUCCGCAGCCGCGCACGCAGGUGGGUGUCCGUGCUGGGGGAGACGAGGGACCCGGCACAUCCUUCCCGGUCCCCUGGGCCUGGCCUCAGAGCCGGUGUCAGGCCCCGAGGCCGCGCUCGGCGCCGGGCAGCGUCCCUCCGCCGCCGCAGCCCCCACCCGCCGCGUCGGUGCACCGAGGGCCAGCGCGCCAGGGCCCACCCAGCGGGGGCGGGAUGACAGAGCACAAAGAGACAGCGGAGGACCACUACCCGCUUGGCCUGCACCCGGGCCAGCAGGCUUCAAAAAGGAGGCCCUCCGGUGCCAGCCUCCGAGGCACGAGAACAGGGCUCUCAUCCUCUUUGGGAGUGGGUGGCCCCGAGUGUUUUUGAGGGUUUAGGUGAAAAUUGCGGUUCAGCUGUUCGCGGGCGGGGGGGAAUGGCCUUUGCACAGACUCAGGGAGGGGCGUGGAAGGGCUCCCAGCUCAGGGGCGCCCUUGGGGUCAGCAGAGUGGAGACCUCCCAGUGCCACUGGAGCAUUCAGCUCACCGUUUUGGAAAGGCUGGGCCCGGCCUCCCUUAGCAAAGGACAGACCAUGUUACCAGACAGGUGAGGGGCAGGGAGGGGGCGUGCCCCCUCGCCGCAGAGGUCUAUCUUUCCCAGCCAGUGCUGGGGCUGUGUACUGGCCAGUGUGAUCGCCAUUAUGGUCUGUCGCCAGGCAGUGGACCUCAAGUAACCCUGAGUGGCCCGGAUCUUUCAGGGGUUCCUGGCUGGAGAAGGCCCAGGUUCUUGGAGUUUGCUCCCAGGGGAGCAGCACCUGGGGCUCAUUUUUGAAUGGAAGGGGAUUUGAGAGCUGGGGGUCCUGGUACCCUGGACUCUGUUUCCCAAAGAAGACCCUGGCACCCGGGGUGCUGCUUCAUGCUCUCCCUCUGUUUGCUGCCUGGAGAUGUAGGCGCCUCCACAGCUGCCCACAUGCCCCCGGGGUGCCACCUGUGCAAUGGCUGUGCAGUACCUACCACAGGAACACUGUAGGCCUGACAGAUGUCAGGGGGGCUGGCCUUCCAGUCCCAAUGCUGCUGCUGGUCCUGGAUCAUAAUAAAACUCCUUUCGGUGGUUUUUCUAGUGGAUUCUGUGUCUGCCAGAUUUUUGUCCCACAAAAAAUUUGUAUUUAUGUCUCCCCCUUUUAUUAAGCAGACAGCACCUGCUCAGGGUGGGUGACCAGGUAAGCUCCCCUGGUGCAGCAGUCGGCUCUCAAUCUUUGGGAAAUGUGUUUCCUUCAGGCUCUUUGAGGUCAGGGGAAGCAUCAUCCAUUGGCCCUCAGGAUCCUAGUGACAGAUCACUAAGGGUUCAGGGCUAAUGGGGAGGAGGGACCUCUGGCCACAUGGUUUCUUCCAUCAGCCCCCACCCUGGCCAUGAAUUACAGGUGCCGCCCAGUAGGGACCCACAGCUCCUGGAGGAUGGUGCGGAUCUUGGCCAAUGGGGAAAUUGUUCAGGAUGAUGACCCCCGAGUGAGGACCACUACCUCGCAGAGAGGUAGCUCUCCUCGGCAGGUAGGCAUCCCCUGGGGAGGGGGAGCAGCCUGCCUUCUUUGUUACUCCUUAACUUCUAGAAGUCUCUCUUGCUGGUCAUUAGCCUUCUCUAGCCUGAAGCCCUCUUUGGAAAGAGCUGAGCAAGGGAGCGCAGAGGGUCAAGACAGUGGGCAAAUGCUGUGGGUUUACUGCCCAGUCCCUGUCUCCCCAGUUCUCUCCCCUCUGGGCGAUUUUCUCCCCAAGAGCUCUCUCUCCUUUAACCUGGCUAGUGAAUCCUGCUGCAGUUGGUUUAUUUUGAAAGUCUGUUGGAUGGGAGAAAACCUGGAGAGAGAGGGGAAGAGUUGAGCCCAUGGCCACAGAACUAUUUUAAAGAAGGGAGUGCCCAAGAGCUGUGCCCAUGCUGAGUAACCCCUGCCUGGUCACUUCUUGUCGUCUCUGUCCUGGGUGCCUUCUCCCCGGGCAUUAUAUUGGGAAUUCACACUGGCAUUUUCUGUACUCUGAGAGCUUGUGAUCCAAUCCUUGGGAGUCUAUGGGUGGCAUACAGAAUUGCUAAGGAAGGAGGGAGUGGCCCAAGGUGGCUGUCAAGGAGGGCAGGGCCCAGCCUGGAGUUCCCUCCUGGCUGGUGCCUCAACUCCAGGACAGCUUUCUCUGGAUUCAUUUGUUUCUCUCUGUCUUCAUCUUCCAGGGCUUUCUCAACAGGGGCCAUGGUGUCCCCCCUGGGGGGACCGGCCCCCGCCCACAGCAGGCAGGUGCCAGGCUGGGGGCUGCCCAGUCUCCCUUCAAUGACCUCAACCGGCAGCUGGUAAACAUGGGCUUCCCCCAGUGGCAUCUGGGCAACCAUGCGGUGGAGCCGGUGACCUCCAUCUUGCUGCUUUUCCUGCUCAUGAUGCUUGGUGUUCGUGGCCUCUUGCUGGUGGGCCUCGUGUACCUGGUGUCCCACCUGAGCCAGCGGUGACCUCGAGGGCUGACGGGGGUUGGUGUGUCGAGAGGGACUUGCUGGGCCUUGGUGUUGGAGCAGGCAUGUGGGGAGGGGACCAUGAAUUUGGAUUGCAGGUAUGGUGAGAGGGACCAUGGGUUAAGCCGGAGGCAGAGGGAGGCUCUAGUCUAGCAUCCCCAAGCCUAGGGUGGGCACCCUGGUUGUCUUGAGAUGUUCAGGUGGUCUAGGGCCUCCAUUAAGUGACACAAAACCAGAACAAGGCGUUCUCUUUCCAAUUCUCUUUGAUCCUUUUAUGCCAAGAAGAAGUCUUAACUUGGUGCCAACGUGUUGGAUGCCUCCAGGACACGAGCUGCCUUCUCCGUUACCGGGGAGCAGUACUGGGUCUAGGGCAGGUGGGAGAAGUUUCCAGACUUUUAUAACACUGUUUUGUUUUAAUGGUGUAUUUUUAUUGGCUACCUUUUAUUUCCGAUGAGGGGUACCGGCAUUCUAUUUAUUGUGACAUUUUCAAUAAAUAGAUUUAAGUAAAAAUGAGUCCAUGUAAAGAAAUUUAUUACUAAUCAUGCAGCUGCACAGAUCUGGAAAGGAUGGUGAAGGUGGCUGGGGGCAGCUG
rnacentral:lncRNA from 1 species